AUAAGUGCUUCUUAUUAAGCACUUGGGUUGGAGCAAAAACCUGCAGCCAUUGCGACCCUCCAGGACUAUGAUUGAGGACCCCUGCGCUACAGUGUCCUACCUCUAGUUCACCCCCACAUCUAGUGUCUUACACUUAACAGACAAUUGUUUUAUCCUGCAAUUCACCAACAGGUCCAGAAGUCGAGAUAGCAACUAAAUGGAUAGGAAUUUCAGGAUUACUAGGGGCACUACUAGGAGGAUUACUGGGAGCUCUUCUGUACUACUUACAGAGACGCUGCUCUAAAAAAGACACUCAAGAACAUGAACUACGAUCUGAGUGCUGUUCCUUAAUUUCUGAACAGAGAAGAGAUUCUAUGGAGGAUAUCCGUGUAAAUAUGUGAUAAUGUAUCAUCUCCUAAACACAAAGAACACAACUGACUUUCCUCCUUGAGUAUCAAGAUUUCAGACAUGGCUGACCAAGAAAUGUUCCUCCAUUCUGUUGAAUUACGUGGCUGAAAUAGGUUGUAGUGUCAAUGGUGGACUGAGAAUCUGCUACUAUUACUGAUUUUUGUCACAUA